GGCAAACUCCGUGCCAGCAGCCGCGGUAAUACGGAGGGUGCGAGCGUUAAUCGGAAUUACUGGGCGUAAAGCGCGCGUAGGCGGUUAUUUAAGUUGAGGUGUGAAAUACCCUGGGCUCAACCUAGGAACUGCAUUUCAAACUGGAUAACUUGAGUAUGUCAGAGGGUAUUGGAAUUUCCCCGUGUAGCAGUGAAAUGCGUAGAUAUGGGAAGGAACAUCAGUGGCGAAGGCGAAUACCUGGGAUAAUACUGACGCUGAGGUGCGAAAGCGUGGGGAGCAAACGGGAUUAGAUACCCUGGUAG
rnacentral:rRNA from 1 species